AGUGAACGCUGGCGGUAGGCCUAACACAUGCAAGUCGAACGGCAGCACAGUAAGAGCUUGCUCUUACGGGUGGCGAGUGGCGGACGGGUGAGGAAUACAUCGGAAUCUACUUUUUCGUGGGGGAUAACGUAGGGAAACUUACGCUAAUACCGCAUACGACCUACGGGUGAAAGCAGGGGAUCUUCUGACCUUGCGCGAUUGAAUGAGCCGAUGUCGGAUUAGCUAGUUGGCGGGGUAAAGGCCCACCAAGGCGACGAUCCGUAGCUGGUCUGAGAGGAUGAUCAGCCACACUGGAACUGGGACACGGUCCAGACUCCUACGGGAGGCAGCAGUGGGGAAUAUUGGACAAUGGGCGCAAGCCUGAUCCAGCCAUACCGCGUGGGUGAAGAAGGCCUUCGGGUUGUAAAGCCCUUUUGUUGGGAAAGAAAAGCAGCAGGUUAAUACCCCGCUGUUCUGACGGUACCCAAAGAAUAAGCACCGGCUAACUUCGUG
rnacentral:rRNA from 1 species